rnacentral:lncRNA from 1 species
CGGGACGUCACCUGGGUGCUCGCGUCCUCCCCGCGCGGCGGACAGCCCGGGCGCCCUUCCUCUCUGCGGGACUGCAGGUCUAUCCGCUAAGCGCGCGUGACCAAAAACGGCUCUCAGCGGGUCCCAGCUGACGGAAGGUGGGGGAGGAGUGCGAGGGUCUCUGAGACAGGUUGGGAGCCAGCCCCACCUCCAUUUCCAAAGCGGGGGUCCAGGCACAGGAACAGCCAAACGCCCGAACCAGCGGGGUUACCUUUGCCACUUCAUCCAAUCCGAGCAUCGGCUGACAAGUUUAUUUAAUCCCUGAACCUGGAUCCAAGGCAUCUCCCUGUAGAAAACAUCAGACCGGGGCAGAGAUUGACAAAGCAACCCAAAGCAGCAGCUGCCAACGGCCGCUGUGCCCACCUCAUCAGCAGCUAAAGAGUAUAAUUUUAAAAAAAGUCACAGAAGAAUGUGGAGACACUUAGCAAAACGGACUCUCAUAAGGAGGCUGAUGGACUACAUCCAUGGGGUACUUUGUCCUCUGGCUUCCAAUUAGAUUCAGAC